rnacentral:rRNA from 1 species
CAGCGGAGCGUGUGGUUUAAUUACGAUGCUACACGAAGAACCUUACCAAGGUUUGACAUGUAAGUGGUAGUGAUCUGAAAAGUGAACGACCCUUCGGGGAGCUUACACAGGUGCUGCAUGGCUGUCGUCAGCUCGUGUCGUGAGAUGUUCGGUUAAGUCCGCUAACGAGCGCAACCCUCACUGUGUGUUACAUGUGUCACACGGGACUGCCGGUUUAAGCCGGAGGAAGGCGAGGAUGACGUCAAGUCAGCAUGGCCUUUAUAUCUUGGGCUACACACACGCUACAAUGGUCUGUACAAUAGGUUGCCAAGCCGCGAGGCGGAGCCAAUCCUUAAAGCAGGCCUCAGUUCAGAUUGCAGGCUGCAACCCGCCUGCAUGAAGAUGGAGUUGCUAGUAACCGCAGGUCAGCUAUACUGCGGUGAAUACGUUCCCGGGUCUU